rnacentral:rRNA from 1 species
UACGUAGGGUGCAAGCGUUGUCCGGAAUUAUUGGGCGUAAAGAGCUCGUAGGCGGUUUGUCGCGUCGGCUGUGAAAGCCCGGAGCUCAACUCCGGGUCUGCAGUCGAUACGGGCAGACUUGAGUGUUGCAGGGGAGACUGGAAUUCCUGGUGUAGCGGUGAAAAUGCGCAGAUAUCAGGAGGAACACCGGUGGCGAAGGCGGGUCUCUGGGCAACAACUGACGCUGAGGAGCGAAAGCG